UGGCGAACGGGUGAGUAACACGUGGGUGAUCUGCCCUGCACUCUGGGAUAAGCCUGGGAAACUGGGUCUAAUACCGGAUAGGACCAUGCUUUAGUGUGUGUGGUUGAAAGUUUUCUCGGUGUAGGAUGAGCCCGCGGCCUAUCAGCUUGUUGGUGGGGUAAUGGCCUACCAAGGCGGCGACGGGUAGCCGGACUGAGAGGUUGGUCGGCCACAUUGGGACUGAGAUACGGCCCAG
rnacentral:rRNA from 1 species